UACGGAGGGUGCGAGCGUUGUCCGGAAUCACUGGGCGUAAAGGGCGCGUAGGUGGCGCGAGUAGUCAACGGUGAAAGCCCGGGGCUCAACCCCGGGUCGGCCGUCGGAUACUCUCGUGCUUGAGCACUGUAGAGGCAGGUGGAAUUCCGGGUGUAGCGGUGGAAUGCGUAGAGAUCCGGAAGAACACCGGUGGCGAAGGCGGCCUGCUGGGCAGUAGCUGACACUGAGGCGCGGACAGCGUGGGGGAGCAAACAGG
rnacentral:rRNA from 1 species